rnacentral:lncRNA from 1 species
AUGGAAUCAUUUCCCACUUUAAUACACAGCACACAUGAUGGUUGGAGAUUGAGCAUCCAUUGUGGAACCCGGAUUCAUCUCAAGGACAGAAGCCACCUGCGUCCAUGCUUUCUGGGUUUUCCCCAAGUCUCCAUGUCCAGUGUGGGACCUCAAACCCAUGACCCCAAGAUCAACUCAUAUGUUCCUCCAACUGAGCUGGUGAGGUGCCCCACCAGAGAUUUUCUAAAAAGCAAAAGUAAUAUGGAGGAAUCUACCUUACCAGAUUUUAAAUGUGUUAAAAAUAAAUAGUAUACAUAAGAAACAAAAUGAUGAUGAUGAAGAUAGCACUUUUUGAAUGUUGACUAAUUAUCUCAAUCCCAUGAAGGGUUCUGUUAUUAUCUCCAUAUUACCAAAGAUGAAAGAACGUGCAGAUGACCAAUAAUUUGGCCGAGUUCAUAUAGUUGUCAAGUAAUUGAACUGAGAGUCCACCCCAGGUAGCCUGUGUCUUGGAGAGAACAGAAAAUCUGGAAGGAGUAGUAUUCUUUAGAAUGUGUUAUGUGCUAAUGAUUUCAUCUGCAUUAGAAAGCAUGGGAGAACGGGAGAGAGGCAGUCCUUAUUCACAAAGGGCACAGGUCAGCCACAUUUUGGCACUAUCUUUUGUUGGAAGAUCAAAGCUCUAUUAAAAGUGCAGCUUAUGAAGUGUUUCUCCCGAUUUAGAAAGCUUAGAAAUAGUUCUGUGCUGAAGUUAAGAACAUAAGUUUCCUUGUCUGUUAUUGGUGCAGGGCCUCUGGAAGGUGUUUUAAUAUUCACUGGACCUAUUUCCUGAUCAAUAACAAGGGAACAUAGUCUUAGUUCGGGUGUGGGGGUGGGAGGCUCAUAUAAUAAUAUCUUCCUUGGGACAUACUGAGUGUUCAGCAAAUGGCAACCAAAAAAAGUAACUGAUGUUAUAUUAGUGAAUUAGGAUCGUGUAAUUUGUUGAAUUACAUUUGAAUUUAAUUCAAUAAUGUAGAUUUACAUUUUAGGUUCCACUGACUUUUUUAAAAUUAAAAAAAAUUUUUUUUAAUGUUUAUUUAUUUUUGAGACAGAGAGAGACAGAGCAUGAAUAGGGGAGGGUCAGAGAGAGGGAGACACAGAAUCUGAAGCAGGCUCCAGGCUCUGAGCUGUCAGCACAGAGCCCGACGCGGGGCUUGAACUCACAGACUGUGAGAUCAUGACCUGAGCCGGAGUCGGAAGCUCAACCGACUGAGCCACCCAGGCACCCCUCCAUUGACUUUUUAAUUCAUUGGAGAGCAAUCAGGAAUAUUUUCAUUGAGCGUCUAGUGGGUCCUAGAGAAAAAGACUAACAGCACUAACAGCAAGAUUUCACUGUAAAUGCGAGGGUAUGCUGUAGCAAAUCCCUAAUUCCCCCUGUGUUCACCCAUAUCAGGGAUGCUCCAGCCUCACUGUACAGUUGACUCUUGAACACGUGGGGUUAGGGACACCAGCCACAUGCAGUUGAAAAUCCAUGUAUGAGCUUUUGAUGAGGGAAACAAAGGCAAGAGAAAUGUGGCAUAAAUUAAAUCUCCUUACAGCUUGCAGCCCAAUGACAGACACCUGAAAUACGCAGAGCGUCACCUUCCUCGAGGAACUCAUGGCUGCCUUACUUCCUCAAUGUUCUUGUUUUAUCAAAGACUAAAAGUAACCUCAUCUUAACAGCAGCUCGCCCCUCAAGGUCCCGAAAGCCUUGCUUCUAAAUCCCGUAGAGUCUUACGCUAUCCCUAACCCUCACUUAAAAGUAUAUAAUCAGUCACUCCUCACAACCCCAGUGCAGCUUUCUGUCCAUGGGUCCUGUCCUGUGCUUUAAUAAAAUCACCUUUUUGCACCA